GACGAACGCUGGCGGCGUGCUUAACACAUGCAAGUCGACGACGCUACUGAGUAGCGAUAUUUAGUAGUGGAGUGGCGCAAGGGUGAGUAAUGUAUACGUAACCAACCCAUCGGGGACGGAUAACAUUUCGAAAGGGAUGCUAAAACGGCAUGAAGCCACGCUUUCGCAUGAGUUUGUGGUUAAAGAACCGGUAACAGGUUGCCGAUGGCUGGGCGGAUAUCCGAUUAGCUAGUUGGUAGUGUAAUGGACUACCAAGGCGACGAUCGGUAGCUGGUCUGAGAGGAUGACCAGCCAGAGUGGCACGGCGACACGGGCCAGACUCCUACGGGAGGCAGCAGUGGGGAAUAGUGGGCGAGGAUCGCAAGGGUUACCCAGCAACGCCGUGUAGAGGAGGAAGGCGGUAAGGGUGGAAACUCGGACAGGAAGGGAAGAACGGCUAUGGUAAAAGGCCAUAGUGUGACUGUACCUGCCUGAAGCCCCGGCUAACUACGUG
rnacentral:rRNA from 1 species